ACCCGGCGGUUGCCUAUAACGCGGGGGCGGUGGCUCUCCUCGAUCCAGCGCGAGGUCAUACCGUGGCGCGAUGACGAAUCGAUGCCGGAAGUUUGGCUUUGAAUUACAAAAAUAUGCGUGCCAUGGAAUUUUCUGCAUUUCUCGAAUUUCUCCCAAGGAAAAGCUGUGCCCGUGAAACAGCGAAAAAGAGCAUUUACUCGAGGGCUGUGACUCAUAUUCCUGAAGAACAUUCGAUACCCUGACCUGCCACCAUCUUCAUCAUCAUCAUCCGUUUCUUCGUUUCUUCAUCAACGAUGGCACAACAGCAGCAGUUUCAGCGUAGCCACACAGCAACCACCAGAUGCCACAGGAACAGCAAAAUCAAUUACAGCCGUUGUUGAGCAGCAAUAAUAGUCACAAUCUACAGGAACCACCUAGUAUUAAUUCUAGCCUAAUUAAUUUAGAGUCUACCUACUAACUCAACAAAUCCUCAUUGGGAAAAUAUCAGUCAACGUUUGAUGAAAGCUGAUUACCAUGAAGCAAAAGUAAUAAUAACACGUUCAAAGUGUCCGAGUACUGUUGGAAUCAAGGAAUUUAUCAUACAAGAUAUUAUUUUCUCCAAAGGUUCUAUGAUCUGGAUUUAAAUAUGACACUGCAAGAAUUGUCAAAAAACAAGACUAUAAUAGAGGUUACAAUAAUUUACGUAGCUGUUAAAGAUCAUUGAGAUACAUAGGAACAAUGGAGAUAUUUAUAUAUACCAGAUUAUAACGAAUAAGAAAAAAUGUAAUAAUGACGACUGCAAAGAGCUUUUAAUAUUUAUUUAUGAAUUUUUAUUCUAAAUACAUUAUCAUUCAUUUCAUCAAAUUAAAUUCAUUAUAAUACAU
rnacentral:lncRNA from 1 species